UUUUUUCAUUAAUGUUUAUCGUCCUUGGUAGAGAGUAAACUCAGACCAGCUUCGAAUUAUUGAAAUUUAGUUCAGUUUAACAUUGUUACAUGUUAUUGGUGUUUGGGGUUUUCAAUGCGGAAGUCAGUCUCAGCAAUACUGAGUCAGACUCCCGACAUUAAAGGUUGUUUCCUUGGGACGCAAAAGUCAGACUUGGGGUAUUUGAACUCCCCGCAUCCUUCUCUUGUUUUUUGCUUCGAGUCACAGUCGCCGCGAUGAUUAAGUCUCGGCGGUGUGGGUCUCUCAGCGAAAAGAGGUGUGGUAAUGAUCCUUCCGCAGGUUCACCUACGGAAA
rnacentral:misc_RNA from 1 species